GGACCCGCACAAGUAGUGGAGCAUGUGGUUUAAUUCGAAGAUACGCGCAGAACCUUACCAACACUUGACAUGUUCGUCGCGACUCUAAGAGAUUAGAGUUUUCGGUUCGGCCGGACGAAACACAGGUGCUGCAUGGCUGUCGUCAGCUCGUGUCGUGAGAUGUUGGGUUAAGUCCUAUAACGAGCGCAACCCUUACCCUUAUUUGCCAGCGGUUAGGCCGGGAACUAUAAGGGAACUGCCGGUAAUAAGCCGGAGGAAGGUGGGGACGACGUCAAGUCAUCAUGGCCCUUACGUGUAGGGCUACACACGUGCUACAAUGGUAUCUACAACAGGAAGCAAGACUGCGAGGUCAAGCAAAUCCUUAAAAGAUACCUCAGUUCGGAUUGCACUCUGCAACUCGAGUGCAUGAAGCUGGAAUUACUAGUAAUCGU
rnacentral:rRNA from 1 species